CUUACCAACGUUUGACAUCCCUAUCGCGGAUCGUGGAGACACUUUCCUUCAGUUCGGCUGGAUAGGUGACAGGUGCUGCAUGGCUGUCGUCAGCUCGUGUCGUGAGAUGUUGGGUUAAGUCCCGCAACGAGCGCAACCCUCGCCUUUAGUUGCCAGCAUUUAGUUGGGUACUCUAAAGGAACCGCCGGUGAUAAGCCGGAGGAAGGUGGGGAUGACGUCAAGUCCUCAUGGCCCUUACGCGUUGGGCUACACACGUGCUACAAUGGCGACUACAGUGGGCAGCCACCUCGCGAGAGGGAGCUAAUCUCCAAAAGUCUUCUCAGUUCGGAUCGUUCUCUGCAACUCGAGAGCGUGAAGGCGGAAUCGCUAGUAAUCGCGG
rnacentral:rRNA from 1 species